CCUUCCCGUCGCCCGCCCCAUUUGAUAUAUGGGCCUGAAAUGUAUGCCAUCCCAUCACCAUCGGACUGGACUGUUCACAGCACUGGAGAGACAGAGGUCCUUCAUUCACUCCAGGUCACAGGCUGUGCGUGUGCAUGCCGAACACCCACAUGCACACAGUUGGUGGCUCAGUCUGAUGUACCUGACUUCUCACGCCUUCCCCCAGUCCUCCAGUACCGUGCCUCUACAUGGGCUGGGCAGCCCCAAACUGAAAUGUGAGUGCCAGAGUGCAUCCUUUAAGCGAGGUCUGCCCCACGGACACCCGCUCCCUCUGUGUCCCUGCUUUGACAGAUCUAUCCAUCUGGCCAUCCAUCCGUGGGGGUCUGCAAUGGCCACCUUUAGCCGCCAGGAAUUUUUCCAGCAGCUACUACAAGGCUGUCUCCUGCCUACUGCCCAGCAGGGCCUUGACCAGAUCUGGCUGCUCCUUGCCAUCUGCCUCGCCUGCCGCCUCCUCUGGAGGCUCGGGUUGCCAUCCUACCUGAAGCAUGCAAGCACCGUGGCAGGCGGGUUCUUCAGCCUCUACCACUUCUUCCAGCUGCACAUGGUUUGGGUCGUGCUGCUCAGCCUCCUGUGCUACCUCGUGCUGUUCCUCUGCCGACAUUCCUCCCAUCGAGGCGUCUUCCUAUCCGUCACCAUCCUCAUCUACUUACUCAUGGGUGAGAUGCACAUGGUAGACACCGUGACAUGGCACAAGAUGCGAGGGGCACAG
rnacentral:lncRNA from 1 species